rnacentral:rRNA from 1 species
AUGCCCGGUCUGGCUCGCUUCAUCCUCCUCCUGCUCCUCGUCCUCGCCGUCCCCGUCGCUCAGCCUACCCCCUACAGCGACAACCUCCAGGACGCGUGCAACAAGACGUUGUUCCCCAAAGUGUGCAUCCAGGCGCUGACGGGCAACCCGGAGACCCGGACAGCGGACGCGCGCCGGCUGGCCGAGUUGUCCGUGAACUUCGCCAAACAGGCGGGCACCAAGGUGGCAGCGCUCGCUCACAACGAGCUCAACGGUGUCAAGGCGGAGGACGUCAUGUUCAAGUGCCUCGACAGCUGCUCCGACGACAUUGAAGAGGCGGUGGCGCACCUGAGCGGCCUCAGCGGCGAGGUCACCGACAGCAAGUUCCUCGAGGUCAAGUCAUGGCUGUCCGCGACGCUGGGCGGCUCGUCCACCUGUGAGGAGAGCUGCAAGGACGCGCCCGCCAGUGAUGCCAAGACGUUCUUCGUAGCCAAGAGCAUCGAAUUCGAGAAGCUGCUCCGCGUCACGCUCGACCUCAUCACCGAGGCCUCCGGCUCCAUGUCCGCGUCCGGCUCCAUGUCCGGCGACGUCGCGGUGCCGCCCACGCCGUAUGAUGGCAGCGCUUCAGGUUCCUAUGGUGCCAGCGCGCCGGGCUCCUACAGUGUCAGCGCAUCCGAGUCGUCCGAGAGUGCCAGCGCACCCGAGUCGUCCGAGAGUGCCAGCGCAUCCGAGUCGUCCGGGAGUGCCAGCGCACCCGAGUCGUCCGGGAGUGCCAGCGCGCCCAGCUCCGAAGCACCAUCCGCUGAUGCGUCGGCGCCGGCCUCGAACGCACCAACCUCCGAGGCACCGUCAGCUGGCGCGCCAGGCCCCUCCUAUGGCUCCAGCAGCGCACCGAGCUCCGAAGCACCAUCCAGUGAUGCGUUGGCGCCAUCCAGUGAUGCGUCGGCGCCAUCGAACGCUCCAACCUCCAACGCACCAUCAGCUGGCGCGCCAGGCCCCUCCUACGGCUCCAGCGCACCGAGCUCCGAAGCACCAUCCACCGAUGCGCCGACGCCCUCGAGCUCGAACGCACCAACCUCCGACGCACCCUCAGCUGUCUCGCCAGGCCCCUCCUAUGGCUCCGCCAGCGGGCCAUCUACCGAUGCACCGUCGCCAUCCCCAUCGGACGCCGACGCGCCAUCUUCCGGGUCUGCCGGCGCGCCAUCAUCAGGGUCGGCCGGCGCACCAUCAUCAGGGUCUGCCGGCGCACCAUCGUACGGGUCUGCCGGCGCCCCGUCCCCGUCCGACGCCGGCGCUCCUGAUGCCGACUCACCUGCAUGA